rnacentral:lncRNA from 1 species
AGGCUAUAUACUUUAGUUUUUUAAUUAUCAAAGAAAGAAAAGAGGACUUAAGCCUUACUUUCGUAAUUCUUCUAUUAUUUUCUAUUAUCUUCUAGUUUUUUUUUAAAGAUUUGAGUUGAGCGGAUUGAGGAGAAUCUUCCUUCCUCCUAAGUUGAUGAUGUUGUAGCUUGCCAUCUUCAAGCUUGACUUGAGAGAAGGUGUUUUGAUUUAGCUGGAUGAAGAACUUCUGAUUUCCUUUCUUGUGAUUGAUCCACUAUCCAAAUACCAAGUAUGUUGUGAUUCUUGUUACAAAGUCACGCACGAGUAAAAUAGUUUUCACUAUCAUCCUUUUCAUAGAAGUUUGUUUCAUUCAUUUUUUUUAUCUUUGAACCAACAAUCUCUUUCAGAAUGAUUUGAAAUUUUGCAACUUUUGCAUCCAUAAUGAUAGGAUUUAGAUUCAUGUCCAUAUAUUUUUCAAAUAAAGCAUUGAGAAUUGGUAUUACUAUUUCUUUGAUUGGAUUGACCCCAUCUACGUUUUCCUUUGCCUUGGGCUUCCGUAGAAAACUGCUUCCAUUUUCUUUGAUUUUUUCUUUGAAAUGUGCCUCUUUCUUUUCCUUCUUGCUUUGUACUUUAAGGUUUCUUUUUUUUCAGCUUGCUCUAAAGAUUGAACUAAAAAUCUAUUCAUUCUUUGUUCACAUGCAAGGUGAGAAUAGGUAGAUCCAUUGAUUCUUCAAUGCAGCAACAAUAUGAUCAAAUCUAGUGGACAAUCUUUUUAGAAUUUUUUCAACAAUCUUCCUCUCUUGAAUGGUAUCACCAUGACUUCUAAUUUGAUGGAAAAGAAAUCUUUUAUCAUUUCAUGAUCCUUCAUUGCUAAAUUAUCGAAUUCUCUCCAUAAGGAUUUAAGCUUAAUAGAAACAACUUUAUCGGUGCCCUGAAACUCCUUUUUUCAGAAUUUCCUUUGCAUCUUUAGAUUUAUUUGCACCCAUAAUUUCUAGAAAAAAUAGUUUUGUUUACCCCUUGCUGAAUUAUAAGUAAAGCUCUUGCAUCUCUUCUUUUGUUCUCUUUGUACACCCUUUGCUUUGCUUGAGUCUAUGAUGUAAAUACUUCUUGAUUUGCUGGUUCUUCAUAGCCACUUUCAACUAAGUCCCACAAAUCUUCUAAGAUGGAGAGAGUUCUCAUUUGCAUGCUCUAGAAAUUUAUAGCUCUCACUGUCAAAAACUAGUGCUGGGCUUUGCAUGUAGUUGAAGGUAGUGUUGUUUGUACUUGGUACUAGUAGGGCCGGCCCAACCCAUAGGCAACUUAGGCGGUCGCCUAAAGCCCCGUUUCAAAAGAAAGCCUACUGCAAAGAGAACGAGAAGUUGAAAUAAAAUGAAUACCAGAGAGGGAAGGAGAGGAGGGUCGCUUCUUCGGAAGGGAUUCCCGCUGAGAGAGGGUCUAGAGCUGCUGGUCAAGCUUCUGAAGCGCUUCCCAGGCCUUCUCCUGGUCGAUUUCGAACUGGCUUUUUUCUUUCUCUCUGACACUAGUCGGAGGAGGAGAAACACACAAGGAGGAGGACCACCACAAGAAAGAGGAAGAGCACAAGGAGAGCAUCGUCGAAUAGAUCAAGGAGAAGAUCCACAGUGGAGAUGAGCAUGGCAAGAAGAAAGAGAAAAAGAAGGAGGAGAAGAAGAAGCAUGGCGAGGGCCACAACGGCCACAACAGCAGCAGCGACAGUGACUAGAUCCGCAUAUUAUAAAGUAUGAUUAUUUCUCCUUUUUUCUGUGUUCAAUUUCAGUACGUCAAAACUACAUACUUUCUUUGAUUUGUUUUCUUUCCCUUUCUCCCUCAUAUCUUUUGUAAGAUCCGUGAUAAAGUUAUUCAUUUUUGUUGUAAUGCCCAGUAGAUUUAGUUUUUACUUUCAUUUGAGUACCAUGACGAAAUUGUCUACCAUCUGUUUGUUAUAAUGUCCAGUAGACUUAUAUUUGUUGUAAUACCCAGUAGAUUUAGUUUUUACUUUCAUUUUAAGUACCAUGACUGAGUUGCCUACCAUCUAUUUGUUAUAAUGACCAGUAGAUUUAUAUUUGUUGUAGUUGUAAUGUCCACUAGAUUUAGUUAUUAUUUUCAUUUUAAGUACGAUGGCUGAGUUGUCUACUAUCUGUUUGUUAUAAUGCCCAAUAAAUUUAUCUUUGUUGUAAUGUCCGGUAGAUUUAAUUUUUACUUUCAUUUUGAGUACCAUGACUGAGUUGUCUACCAUAUUUUUGUUAUAAUGCCCAAUAGAUUUAUGAUUGUUCUUCCUUUUUUCCUUUUUUACCUUCGUUCUUCAAUUUUUUCCUUUCCCUGCUGCUCUGGUGCCUGGUGGGCUCUAACACCCAGAUCAGGAAGUUUUCUCCUUGGAAUCCUUCUAUUGUUACCCAUCAAUUUGUUUCUGUUAGAGUUUUCAAUUUGGUUAAUGCCAGAGUUUUCGGUGGGAUACUUUUCUCUUCUCCAAAGUGGAGCUUUAUUACUUUUUUUUAAAUAAAAUGGUGUUAGUCUGCAAUGGGUUUAUAAUUUCUAGGAGACAUCUUGGGUUGCACACGUUUCUGGUGAUAGCUAAUGGGAUAGCUGCAGGUUAUAGUCUAAUUCAGGGAGUGAGGUGUGUGGUGAGCAUGAUAAAAGGGAGUGUUCUCUUCAACGAGGCCUUGGUUUGGGCUAUCUUCUCAUGUGAUCAGGUAUGUUGUAAAUUCUUUGGGCAGGGCCUAUUCACAUACAUUGGAAAGCAUUUGUGGUGCAGAUGAAUGCAUACAUAGCUAGGUUGUCAAAGGGUGCUAAAAGGUUUAGAUUUCUAAACACUAAUAGCUAAGCAUAAAUAGGCCCUAUUCUCAUAGAUUUUCACUACAUGUAAAUACUGAUUUUGGAACAUCUAAUAGCUAUUAUUUUUAAAUAUAUUUUGCACUUAUUAAAAUUUUUUCAUCAUUUUCAAAAAAAAAAAAGUCUUAGUGAGUUUGCCUUGGCCUCCAAAUGCAUUUGUUCGUCCUUGGGUGCUAGAAUUUGUUGCCAUAGCGUUGGUUCGUCCUUGGGUGCUAGAAUUUGUUGCCAUAGCGGAAUUGAAUCGAGAAGCAGGAUUUGGAUAGAAAAUACAAGAUGGAGUUUGGAGGGCUUUGGAUUAGAACAAGAAGAGAGAACCUAGUUCUAGCACCAAUUUUGUUGGGUAUAAAAAAAAAGAUACAGAGAAUAAGAUGCAAGAAGGAGAACUUUGUAGUGCAAAACGGAGAGGAUUUUCAUUUAUAGUAGAGCCGUACAAGUAGAGAUGGGCAUUAGGCCGGGUCGCCCAUGGCCCAGCACGGCCCGGCACGAAGCGGGCCGAUAACGGGCCGUGCUAGGCACGGCUCAUAAAAGGGGGUCGGGCUGGGUUAAGGAUUUCUGGCCCGCGUGCCGAGCCCGACACGGCCCAUAAGGGUCUGGGCUGGCACGAAUCGUGGGCUAAGCACGGCACGGCCCGUGGGCCAGCCCGGAAUGGCCCAUAAGGGGCAAAAUGCCCCUCAAAUUAGCCGUUUUCUGGCUGUUGGGAGGGGCAAAAUGGGUAAAAAGCCACAAAUAGCCGUUAUGGGCCAAAAAAAUAGACGUUAUGGGCCACCCAUAACGCUAUUUUUUUUUUGGACAGACGGGUCGUGCCAGGCACGACCCGUGCCAGGCACGAUCCGUGUCGGGCCCGACAUGGCCCGCCACCCUAUGGGCCUAGGGUUGUGCCGGGCUUAGCCUUUAGGUUAAGCGGGCCGGGCCAGGCACGGCCUGUUUGGUCUGUGGCCCAGUUGGCCUGGGCUGGGCAUUGGGCUGCGCCCGGCGCAGCCCGAUGCCCAUCUCUGCGGCCCGGCCCAGCUCGAUGCCCAUCUCUGCUUACAAGAGCCUCUCAAUAGCUUAUCGAUGCCAAGACACUUGUCAUGACUUAUAGGCUACCAUUUAUGAAUAUAAAGUUAACUUUUUUUUUUGAGGGUAGCUGUUCCUAUUGGCCUUUUUUUCAUCGUGAAAUGUUUGAUGCGGAUAGAAAUUUUGCUUAUAUUUUAUUCAAUCUAUGGAUAACUCUACGUGUGAGUAUAUCAUUUCAGUGCCAUUUUAGUGGCAGCGGAUCAGAUAGUACUUUCAACGGAUAUGUGGACGGAGAGUAUCCGGUUCUCAAUAUUUAAUUGAUGCCCGGAUGUUUUGAAUCUGGACUGCCUCGGUGAAAGAAAAGCUACGUUUCCAUGUGCUGCCAUCUUGGUGGCAUAAAAGUGACUUUUUGAUCCUGACAUGAGUCCUUGUUUACUUUAAUAGCUGUUUGACUUCCCAGAAUAUUAAAUAACAGAAUUACAUUACUUUCAAACUUGCAAAUAUUAAUUAUAAGUUUACAGAAUUACAAAUUAAAUUCAAACAACAUUUAUAAUGGAUGUGACUGCAGGCGAAUUAAACAUGCUGCUAAUCAGCCCCCUCAUGGAGCCAAACACCGCCUUCUUCGAUUACAAAUCGAGCAACGUUGGUCCUGAA